ACGUAGGGUGCAAGCGUUAAUCGGAAUUACUGGGCGUAAAGCGUGCGCAGGCGGUUGUGCAAGACAGAUGUGAAAUCCCCGGGCUUAACCUGGGAAUUGCAUUUGUGACUGCACGGCUAGAGUGUGUCAGAGGGGGGUAGAAUUCCACGUGUAGCAGUGAAAUGCGUAGAUAUUACAUGGAAUACCAAUUGCGAAGGCAGGUUACUACUAGUGGAUUGACGCUGAUGGACGAAAGCGUGGGGAGCGAACAGGA
rnacentral:rRNA from 1 species